rnacentral:rRNA from 1 species
AGCGAACGCUGGCGGCGUGCCUAACACAUGCAAGUCGAGCGGCCGUAGCAAUACGGCAGCGGCAGACGGGAGAGUAACACGUGGGAACGCGCCCUUCGGUUCGGGAUAACUCAGGGAAACUUGGGCUAAUACCGGAUACGCCCUUAAGGGGAAAGAUUUAUUGCCGACGGAACGGCCCGCGUCCGAUUAGCUUGUUGGGGAGGUAACGGGUCACCAAGGCGACGAUCGGUAGCUGGUAUGAGAGGAUGACCAGCCUCACUGGGGCUGAGACACGGACCAGACUCCUACGGGAGGCAGCAGUGGGGAAUAUUGGACAAUGGGCGCAAGCCUGAUCCAGCCAGGCCGCGUGGGUGAUGAAGGCCCUAGGGUUGUAAAGCCCUUUAAGAGGGGAAGAUAAUGACGGUACCCGCAGAAGAAGCCCCGGCUAACUUCGUGCCAGCCGCCGCCGUAAUAC